AGGCAUUCGACAUCUCCCGAAGUCUCUUGUUGAGCAACAGAAUCUCAACUAGAGCAGCGAUUCUUAGCUCCUCUCCUUUGAAUAAGGACAAAGGGGUUGCUCUUCUAAGAGUCUGUGUUUGAGCCCAGAAGGAGGACACCUCACAUGGAAAAGGUCCCGACUAUUGAAGGAGACGAAAGCACUGAGAUAUCUGGACGUGCUGCAGACAAACACAGAAGGUUGUGGACAAAGAGGCAGAAGGCAAAGAGGGCACUGCCCUCCCGUUCCUUUAAGUAUGCCUCCCACUGGAAAGAGGAAACAAAGUUCUAUGCUAGGAAGACAAGAUGGCAGAUCUAGUUGUCAAGCUGCUUGGAUGGUCUUGGACUCAGGGCACCUCAGUCAAGGCCAUGCUCCAUCUCCAUGACUCCCAGAUCUGUUUGGAGCCUGGAAUUCUCUCAUGCAUUCCAACCAACUAUAUUCAGCAGCUUACUGGUUGCUCUUGCACGCGAUGCAGACACCUCGUGCUUCUGACAAGCAAAAGAGAAACCUGACUGCAGCUCCACCAGCCUGUUUCAGUCCCUCCAGUAAACAGCACUCACCCUGCUGGAUACUCAAGCCAGAUG